rnacentral:rRNA from 1 species
GACGAACGCUGGCGGCGUGCUUAACACAUGCAAGUCGAACGGAAAGGCUCCAGCUUGCUGGAGUACUCGAGUGGCGAACGGGUGAGUAACACGUGGGGAUAUGCCCCGUACUUCGGGGUAAGCCCUGGGAACUGGGUCUAAUACCGGAUAGGAACGUACUUUGGCGUGUGUGGUGGUAAGGUUUUUCUGGUGUGGGGUGAGCUCGCGGCCUAUCCGUUUGUUGGUGGGGUAAUGGCCUACCAAGACGGUGACGGGUAGCCGGCCCGAGAGGGUGGACGGUCACAUUGGGACUGAGAUACGGCCCAGACUCCUACGGGAGGCAGCAGUGGGGAAGAUUGCACAAUGGGGGAAACCCUGAUGCAGCGACGCCGCGUGGCGGAUGAAGGCCUUAGGGUUGUAAACUCCUUUCGCUAGGGACGAAGCAUUUUGUGACGGUACCUGGAGAAGAAGCACCGGCUAACUACGUG